rnacentral:rRNA from 1 species
GACGAACCGUACGAACGUUAUUCGGAAUCACUGGGCUUAAAGGGUGCGUAGGCGGCGCAGUAAGUUGGGUGUGAAAUCCCUCGGCUUAACCGAGGAAUUGCGCCCAAAACUACUGUGCUCGAGGGAGGUAGAGGUGAGCGGAACUUAGGGUGGAGCGGUGAAAUGCGUUGAUAUCCUAAGGAACACCGGUGGCGAAAGCGGCUCACUGGACCUCUUCUGACGCUGAGGCGCGAAAGCUAGGGUAGCAAACGGG